rnacentral:rRNA from 1 species
CACCGGUAGCUCUAGUGGUAACAAUUUUUAUUGGGCCUAAAGCGUCCGUAGCCGGUUUAAUAAGUCUCUGGUGAAAUCCUGUAGCUUAACUGUGGGAAUUGCUGGAGAUACUAUUAGACUUGAGACCGGGAGAGGUUAGAGGUACUCCCAGGGUAGAGGUGAAAUUCUGUAAUCCUGGGAGGACCGCCUGUUGCGAAGGCGUCUAACUGGAACGGUUCUGACGGUGAGGGACGAAAGUUAGGGGCGCGAACCGGAUUAGAUACCCGGGUAGUCCUAACUGUAAACGAUGCGGACUUGGUGUUGGGGUGGCUUUGAGCUGCUCCAGUGCCGAAGGGAAGCUGUUAAGUCCGCCGCCUGGGAAGUACGGUCGCAAGACUGAAACUUAA